rnacentral:rRNA from 1 species
UACGUAGGGGGCAAGCGUUGUCCGGAUUUAUUGGGCGUAAAGAGCGUGUAGGCGGCUUGGUAGGUCCGCUGUGAAAACUCGAGGCUCAACCUCGAGAUGUCGGCGGAAACCACUUGGCUAGAGUCCGGAAGAGGAGAGUGGAAUUCCCGGUGUAGCGGUGAAAUGCGCAGAUAUCGGGAAGAACACCUAUGGCGAAGGCAGCUCUCUGGGACGGUACUGACGCUGAGACGCGAAAGCGUGGGAGCAAACAGG